rnacentral:rRNA from 1 species
UACGUAGGUGGCAAGCGUUAUCCGGAUUUAUUGGGCGUAAAGGGAACGCAGGCGGUCUUUUAAGUCUGAUGUGAAAGCCUUCGGCUUAACCGGGGAAGUGCAUUGGAAACUGGGAGACUUGAGUGCAGAAGAGGAGAGUGGAACUCCAUGUGUAGCGGUGAAAUGCGUAGAUAUAUGGAAGAACACCAGUGGCGAAAGCGGCUCUCUGGUCUGUAACUGACGCUGAGGUUCGAAAGCGUGGGUAGCAAACAGG